rnacentral:lncRNA from 1 species
AAGUCCAUUGUUAUACAAUUUAAGUCAAAUUCUUCUUUUUAUCUUCUAAAAAUAUGUCCAUCAUUGAGCAAAUUUGGUUGGACUCCUCUUCCUAACAUCAAUAGAACUAGAUCUCUAAAAAAGGAUAAAUAUAAAAAAUUAUGAAAAAAUACUAAAAUUUUACAGAAGAUAAGUUUUAUAUUUUAUAUCAACUUUAUCUUCUAUUGCUCUACCUAAUUUU